rnacentral:lncRNA from 1 species
GGCAGCUGCGGAGGGCGUGGAGGAGGCAGGAUGACUCAGUGUCUCUGCAACGCCCUCCUCUCCCCUCUCCACUGGCCGUGAGCCAAGCCUGUCCAACCAGUGCUGCAUCAGAGAAAGAAAUCCUGCAGAAGUGACCGCUGUGAAUCCCCCUGUGGCUCCCAAUAUCCCUGGCCUCUCGAUGCUACAACAGUGGCUGUGUUUUUCUGCAGUUCAGUAUACCUAGAAUUGUGCAGGAAAAUUCCUCAAGCGCCCUUGAGGAAUAAGAGUUUUGAGAGCUGGAACUGUGUCCCCACCAACUGGUGCAGUGUCUGCCACAUAACAAAUUCAAUGGCUGCUUGUUGAAUUGAUGUAUGAGGUACAAAGACUGUUCGUUAAUAUUAGUAUGCAUUCUCUGUAGACACCAAACAUGAAGCCCAAAGACGUUGAAUUGACCGUAUGUUU